CCUACGGGAGGCAGCAGUGGGGAAUAUUGCACAAUGGGCGAAAGCCUGAUGCAGCGACGCCGCGUGCGGGAUGAAGGCCUUCGGGUUGUAAACCUCUUUCAGCAGGGAAGAAGCGAAAGUGACGGUACCUGCAGAAGAAGCACCGGCUAACUACGUGCCAGCAGCCGCGGUAAUACGUAGGGUGCGAGCGUUGUCCGGAAUUAUUGGGCGUAAAGAGCUCGUAGGCGGCUUGUCACGUCGGAUGUGAAAGCUCGGGGCUUAACCCCGAGUCUGCAUUCGAUACGGGCUAGCUAGAGUGUGGUAGGGGAGAUCGGAAUUCCUGGUGUAGCGGUGAAAUGCGCAGAUAUCAGGAGGAACACCGGUGGCGAAGGCGGAUCUCUGGGCCAUUACUGACGCUGAGGAGCGAAAGCGUGGGGAGCGAACAGGAUUAGAUACCC
rnacentral:rRNA from 1 species